UACGAAGGGGCUAGCGUUGCUCGGAAUGACUGGGCGUAAAGGCGCGUAGGCGGAUGGCACAGUCAGAUGUGAAAUUCCCGGGCUUAACCUGGGGCUGCAUUUGAUACGUGUUGUCUUGAGUUCGGAAGAGGGUCGUGGAAUUCCAGUGUAGAGGUGAAAUUCGUAGAUAUUGGGAAGAACACCGGUGGCGAAGGCGGCUACUGGUCCGUCUGACGCUGAGGCGCGAAGCGUGGGAGCAACAGGAUUAGAACUACCGUAGUCA
rnacentral:rRNA from 1 species